AUAUGUUGAGUUAUUGAGGUUUUCUUUUGUUGUAUAAUAAUGACUCAUAACUGUCUCUAAAGUACUUCACAGGAAAUAUACUCUGUAGAAAACUCCUAAUUGUUUGCAUAUUCCUUUAAAUUUGAAAACCCUCACAGAUGCAGUGCUAGAUGGUUAAAAAAACUGGUCCUUAUUCCUAUUCUCCAAACUCCAAGAAUGGAAAUCUGAAAAUUGAAAGCCCCACCUAAAGUCCUGACCAUGAACUUGGAAAAUGAUAUACCAUAUAGAACGAUGAUCAAACUCUAUAAAUGCACUCUUGUACUAUCUAUGCAUAUAUUCAAUAAAAUUUGCAUCGCUAAUUCUUACAUUAGCUGUUAAAAGCAUUUACUGUACAGUUUUUAUGAUCAUUAACUCAGCUGACAAAUAAUAGUUUACAUUUAUAUAUGUAUCUGUACGAAGAGCCACGUGGUGAUUGUAAUAGGAUAGGAUAUAUAAUAGCUACAACAGAAGUCUACUUUCCAUACAUAUUAUCUAUUUUGGUAAAUGUCAUUUGCAUAUGAUUCGGAAAACAUUACUGUCACAGAGUGGUAUAAAUCUGAAGUCAGGGAAAGAAUUAGACUUUGAUAAUUAAAGACCUUAUAAAACAAGGCAUAGUAGAUCAGUGGAUGUGGGCAUAGUAGACCUUAUCAGGGAACCAUUUAUUACCUGGUUACUGUAAUGCACCUUACCAUUCAUAUCACUCUACCCUCAUAAUAUAUCUACCACAAUCUAUUAUACUAUUACUCCCUCCAACCCUAAAUCUUUCUCUCUGCAUCAAAUUUUUCAACUUUCUACUUAAACUGUAUUUUUACAGCUCAAUUUUGUUUAACACCAUGCUUAAUCAUUCAUUUCAAGUAACUCAAAUUACAAAGGAUUAAAUAUAUAUUUUUUCCCAAAUUAUUUUAAAAAUGUGGAAAAUGAUGUUUGACAUUUUAGUUACUCUAUCAGGUAUUUCAAGCAAUUGGUGUUGUCAGAGGAUUUCUAAGACCAUAUUCUCGUAAGUUGUGAAAAUUUUCAAGACAAAUUUCUCUAGAAGCCCUUCUAAGAAAUAACUUGACUUCUUCCAUGACAGGAAAUGAACUUAUGCACAAGUUAGCUUAUGGGAAGAGAUUGUUUUGGCUAGUUUUGUUUCUGAUAGCAAGCAAUCCAAGUUUACAAAGCAAAUGGGGAAUGUAUCUGUAGCAGAAAAGAUUUCUACAAAUGGUGGCCAAAACAACUCAUUCGGCAAUUUGUUUUAAACUUUCUUAUUAUGCUUUUAGUCCACUCUUGUAGUUGAAUUUGAAAUGUAGACUUUGACAAUGAAUUCGCUCUGUCUAUUAUAGAUGUAUGAAGAAAAAUAUAGUACUAUUAAUGAUAUUUUUUUGGCAUCAAUACAUAUAAUUGCUUUUAUUUA